UACGGAGGGUGCAAGCGUUGUCCGGAUUUAUUGGGUUUAAAGGGUGCGUAGGCGGCCUUUUAAGUCAGUGGUGAAAUCCUUCAGCUUAACUGAAGGCGUGCCAUUGAUACUGGAAGGCUUGAGUACAGACGAGGUUGGCGGAAUUUAUGGUGUAGCGGUGAAAUGCAUAGAUACCAUAAAGAACACCGAUUGCGAAGGCAGCUAACUAGGCUGUUACUGACGCUGAGGCACGAAAGUGCGGGGAUCGAACAGG
rnacentral:rRNA from 1 species